AUAAAUGGAAUGCGGAGUGCUUACCAUGCAAGUCGAACGGUGAAGCCACGCUUGCGGGGUGGAUCAGUGGCGAACGGGUGAGUAACACGUGAGCAACCUGCCCCUGACUCUGGGAUAAGCGCUGGAAACGGCGUCUAAUACUGGAUACGAACCACGAAGGCAUCUUCAGUGGUUGGAAAGAUUUAUUGGUUGGGGAUGGGCUCGCGGCCUAUCAGCUUGUUGGUGAGGUAAUGGCUCACCAAGGCGUCGACGGGUAGCCGGCCUGAGAGGGUGACCGGCCACACUGGGACUGAGACACGGCCCAGACUCCUACGGGAGGCAGCAGUGGGGAAUAUUGCACAAUGGGCGCAAGCCUGAUGCAGCAACGCCGCGUGAGGGAUGACGGCCUUCGGGUUGUAAACCUCUUUUAGCAGGGAAGAAGCGAAAGUGACGGUACCUGCAGAAAAAGCACCGGCUAACUACGUGCCAGCAGCCGCGGUAAUACGUAGGGUGCAAGCGUUAUCCGGAAUUAUUGGGCGUAAAGAGCUCGUAGGCGGUUUGUCGCGUCUGCUGUGAAAUCUGGGGGCUCAACCCCCAGCCUGCAGUGGGUACGGGCAGACUAGAGUGCGGUAGGGGAGAUUGGAAUUCCUGGUGUAGCGGUGGAAUGCGCAGAUAUCAGGAGGAACACCGAUGGCGAAGGCAGAUCUCUGGGCCGUAACUGACGCUGAGGAGCGAAAGGGUGGGGAGCAAACAGGCUUAGAUACCCUGGUAGUCCACCCCGUAAACGUUGGGAACUAGUUGUGGGGUCCAUUCCACGGAUUCCGUGACGCAGCUAACGCAUUAAGUUCCCCGCCUGGGGAGUACGGCCGCAAGGCUAAAACUCAAAGGAAUUGACGGGGACCCGCACAAGCGGCGGAGCAUGCGGAUUAAUUCGAUGCAACGCGAAGAACCUUACCAAGGCUUGACAUAUACGAGAACGGGCCAGAAAUGGUCAACUCUUUGGACACUCGUAAACAGGUGGUGCAUGGGUUGUCGUCAGCUCGUGUCGUGAGAUGUUGGGGUUAAGUCCCGCAACGAGCGCAACCCUCGUUCUAUGUUGCAGCACGUAAUGGUGGGAACUCAUGGGAUACUGCCGGGGUCACUCGGAGGAAGGUGGGAUGACGUCAAAUCAUCAUGCCCUUAUGUUCUUGGGCUUCACGCCAUGCUACAAUGGCCCGGUAUCAAUGGGGCGUGCUAU
rnacentral:rRNA from 1 species